AGCGAACGCUGGCGGCAGGCCUAACACAUGCAAGUCGAACGAACUCUUCGGAGUUAGUGGCGGACGGGUGAGUAACACGUGGGAACGUGCCUUUUGGUUCGGAAUAACUCAGGGAAACUUGUGCUAAUACCGAAUGUGCCCUUCGGGGGAAAGAUUUAUCGCCAUUAGAGCGGCCCGCGUCUGAUUAGCUAGUUGGUGAGGUAACGGCUCACCAAGGCGACGAUCAGUAGCUGGUCUGAGAGGAUGACCAGCCACACUGGGACUGAGACACGGCCCAGGCUCCUACGGGAGGCAGCAGUGGGGAAUCUUGCGCAAUGGGCGAAAGCCUGACGCAGCCAUGCCGCGUGAAUGAUGAAGUUCUUAGGAUUGUAAAAUUCUUUCACCGGGGACGAUAAUGACGGUACCCGGAGAAGAAGCCCCGGCUAACUUCGUG
rnacentral:rRNA from 1 species